GACGAACGCUGGCGGCGUGCCUAAUACAUGCAAGUUGAGCGCUGAAGGUUGGUACUUGUACCGACUGGCUGAGCAGCGAACGGGUGAGUAACGCGUGGGGAAUCUGCCUUUGAGCGGGGGACAACAUUUGGAAACGAAUGCUAAUACCGCAUAAAAACUUUAAACACAAGUUUUAAGUUUGAAAGAUGCAAUUGCAUCACUCAAAGAUGAUCCCGCGUUGUAUUAGCUAGUUGGUGAGGUAAAGGCUCACCAAGGCGAUGAUACAUAGCCGACCUGAGAGGGUGAUCGGCCCAAUUGGGACUUGGACACGGCCCCAACUCCUACGGGAGGCAGCAGUAGGGAAUCUUCGGCAAUGGACGAAAGUCUGACCGAGCAAAGCCGCGUGAGUGAAGAAGGUUUUCGGAUCGUAAAACUCUGUUGGUAGAGAAGAACGUUGGUGAGAGUGGAAAGCUCAUCAAGUGACGGUAACUACCCAGAAAGGGACGGCUAACUACGUG
rnacentral:rRNA from 1 species